rnacentral:lncRNA from 1 species
AGUUUGUUUUUUACCCGCUUUUUAAGGGGCGGUGGUGAAGGGAGCGAGGUUUGGGGUUCUCCGGGGAGAAGGCGGGGCGUCGUCCCUCGGCCCCCGCGCAGGUCCAGGCACUUUCCCGAUCCCGCACGCCGGGCAAGUGGGGGCACGGCGUCCCUGGGAACUCCGGUCCUGGCAGUCAGCCUCUCCCGGGCAGCGAUCACUCCCAGUCCUCCGACCCUCCUGUUCCGCGGCCGAAACGCCUGCUACAAACGAUUAGAGAUAAGAACACGUUAAUUUCCCUUUCUUUCCAGGCACUUGGACUCGCCGCGCGCUCCGCCGCCCCAGCGAAGAGUGGAGCGGAGAGGGCCGCUCGCCAGCUCGCCCGCCGUCCGCACCCGCUGCCAUGUGCUGGCUGUUGCUGCUCCCUGUGAUUGACAGGCGGGCGCACAGUCGGCGUGUCAGCAGCGAACCAAAGUAACAUGCAGUCUUGCACGUUUUUGCCGAAGUGCUUUUGCCCCUUGGAAUGCCUAAGAGUUCAAACAACGUUCAAGCGACGCCUCUGCGCAUUGGAAAUCAAUACACAGAGACGGGAAAUUCAGGGCUGGGAGUUGUGUCUGCGGCUAUCACUCUGCAAACCACUGCGUGCCUUACAGAGCAGUUCUAAACUCCGGCUCCGCAGAAUUUCAGCUCUUCGCCUCCACCUCCACCUCCACUCCAGGACACGCCUCCAGUGAUAUCAUGUGUCAAUCAUACGGGCUGCCUGAAAACCUGGAGCAGGAUUUUCCCAACAGUCGUUUCCUCUUUCCUUUAUGAGUACCCACUUGGAUAUAUUGCCCUGUACACUUCCCUAACAAACAUCCUCUGAAAAUGUGGAUUGCCUCAGAAAAUCCUUCAGAUGCCUUUCGUCAUAAAAGAAUACCUUUAAAUUUAGUUAGCAGUCUUCAGUUAUCAAAUCUCAGCAAAAGCAUUGGUGAACUCUACCCUUAAAAGUGGAAUUAGAAAACAACUUUGAAGAAUAAAAGAUUAAAAAGUUGUAUAUCA